rnacentral:rRNA from 1 species
UAAGCCCAGAUUAGGUAGUAACAACCAUUUGAGUCUGGGAUUUCUGAAUGGGGAAACCCACUUACAUAAGUAAGUAUCAUUAACUGAAUACAUAGGUUAAUGAGGCGAACCGGGGGAACUGAAACAUCUAAGUACCCCGAGGAAAAGAAAUCAACCGAGAUUCCGAAAGUAGCGGCGAGCGAAAUUGGACUAGCCCUUAAGCUUUACACGCGUUAGACGAACGGUCUGGAAAGUCCGACGAUACAGGGUGAUAGUCCCGUAGUUGACGACGUGUGUUCAGUGAAAUCGAGUAGGGCGGGACACGUGAUAUCCUGUCUGAAUAUGGGGGGACCAUCCUCCAAGGCUAAAUACUACUGACUGACCGAUAGUGAACCAGUACCGUGAGGGAAAGGCGAAAAGAACCCCUGUGAGGGGAGUGAAAUAGAACCUGAAACCGUGUACGUACAAGCAGUAGGAGCA